AGAGUUUGAUCAUGGCUCAGGAUGAACGCUGGCGGCGUGCUUAACACAUGCAAGUCGAACGAGGUCCAUCCAAACUUGUUUGGGGAAGAUCUAGUGGCGAACGGGUGCAUAACACGUGAGAAACCUGCCUCAGUCUCUGGGAUAACAGUUGGAAACGACUGCUAAUACCGGAUGCCGUCACACCAUCACAUGUUGGAGUGACGAAAGAUUUAUCGGAUUGAGAGGGUCUCGCGGCCUAUCAGCUAGUUGGAGAGGUAACGGCUCACCAAGGCAUCGACGGGUAGCUGGUCUGAGAGGAUGAUCAGCCACACUGGGACUGAGACACGGCCCAGACUCCUACGGGAGGCAGCAGUGGGGAAUCUUGCACAAUGGGCGAAAGCCUGAUGCAGCAACGCCGCGUGCGGGAAGAAGGCCCUAGGGUUGUAAACCGCUUUCAGUAGGGAAGAAAAUGACGGUACCUACAGAAGAAGGUGCGGCCAACUACGUGCCAGCAGCCGCGGUG
rnacentral:rRNA from 1 species